GGCUAACAUGGCAGAGGGGGAAGCGCGCGACUGGGCAGAGGAACGGGGAGAGGAGGAGAGCGCGAGAGCGCGAGGACCAGGAGAGAAGCCGCCGUAUGUCUCAGGUCUGUCUGCGGACAUAAACCGGACGGAGAAGGAAGCUCCCACUGCGCCCUCCUCAUCCCGCUUCUUGGCCCAUUAAGCAGACCCUUCCGUCGCCCGCCGUCCCCAAAGAGGAAUUGCCGUCCGUCUGCGGGAGACGAAGUGUUCGAGCGAAGAGAGAGCCGGCAGGAGUCCGCACCCCUCAAGAGGCAACCUGCGAUACCACUACCGCUUCUUCGACGCCAACUUAAUCCUUUGAAAGCAUAAACCAAUGCCACCCUCC